GCGAGAAAACUUUGCAAUGUGCGAAAGCACGAUAAGGUUAAUCCGAGUGGUUUCUGCUAAAGAAACCUUUUGUCAGUCCUAGAAACACUAACGAAUAAGGGGUGGGCAAGUUCUGGUGUCAGCCGCCGCGGUAAAACCAGCACCUCAAGUGGUCAGGAUGAUUAUUGGGCCUAAAGCAUCCGUAGCUCGUUUUGUAAGUUUUCGGUUAAAUCCAUACGCUUAACGUAUGGGCUGCCGGGAAUACUGCAUAACUAGGAAGUGGGAGAGGUAGACGGUACUCGGUAGGAAGGGGUAAAAUCCUUUGAUCUAUUGAUGACCACCUGUGGCGAAGGCGGUCUACCAGAACACGUUCGACGGUGAGGGAUGAAAGCUGGGGGAGCAAACCGGAUUAGAUACCCCUGUAGUCCCUGAGCGGGCUGGCAAGGCGCAU
rnacentral:rRNA from 1 species